GGGCCUAUAGCUCAGUUGGUUAGAGCAGGGGACUCAUAAUCCCUUGGUCGUAGGUUCUUAUGUUGACUUAGGUUUU
rnacentral:tRNA from 1 species